rnacentral:rRNA from 1 species
AGAGUUUGAUUCUGGCUCAGGAUGAACGCUGGCGGCGCGCCUAACACAUGCAAGUCGAACGGCACCCACCCUCGGGUGGAAGCGAGUGGCGAACGGCUGAGUAACACGUGGAGAACCUGCCCCCUCCCCCGGGAUAGCCGCCCGAAAGGACGGGUAAUACCGGAUACCCCGGGGUGCCGCAUGGCACCCCGGCUAAAGCCCCGACGGGAGGGGAUGGCUCCGCGGCCCAUCAGGUAGACGGCGGGGUGACGGCCCACCGUGCCGACAACGGGUAGCCGGGUUGAGAGACCGACCGGCCAGAUUGGGACUGAGACACGGCCCAGACUCCUACGGGAGGCAGCAGUGGGGAAUCUUGCGCAAUGGGGGGAACCCUGACGCAGCGACGCCGCGUGCGGGACGGAGGCCUUCGGGUCGUAAACCGCUUUCAGCAGGGAAGAGUCAAGACUGUACCUGCAGAAGAAGCCCCGGCUAACUACGUGCCAGCAGCCGCGGUAAUACGUAGGGGGCGAGCGUUAUCCGGAUUCAUUGGGCGUAAAGCGCGCGUAGGCGGCCCGGCAGGCCGGGGGUCGAAGCGGGGGGCUCAACCCCCCGAAGCCCCCGGAACCUCCGCGGCUUGGGUCCGGUAGGGGAGGGUGGAACACCCGGUGUAGCGGUGGAAUGCGCAGAUAUCGGGUGGAACACCGGUGGCGAAGGCGGCCCUCUGGGCCGAGACCGACGCUGAGGCGCGAAAGCUGGGGGAGCGAACAGGAUUAGAUACCCUGGUAGUCCCAGCCGUAAACGAUGGACGCUAGGUGUGGGGGGACGAUCCCCCCGUGCCGCAGCCAACGCAUUAAGCGUCCCGCCUGGGGAGUACGGCCGCAAGGCUAAAACUCAAAGGAAUUGACGGGGGCCCGCACAAGCAGCGGAGCAUGUGGCUUAAUUCGACGCAACGCGAAGAACCUUACCAAGUCUUGACAUCCCUUGACGAUGCUGGAAACAGUAUUUCUCUUCGGAGCAAGGAGACAGGUGGUGCAUGGUUGUCGUCAGCUCGUGUCGUGAGAUGUUGGGUUAAGUCCCGCAACGAGCGCAACCCUUAUGGUCAGUUACUACGCAAGAGGACUCUGGCCAGACUGCCGUUGACAAAACGGAGGAAGGUGGGGAUGACGUCAAAUCAUCAUGCCCUUUAUGACUUGGGCUACACACGUACUACAAUGGCGUUAAACAAAGAGAAGCAAGACCGCGAGGUGGAGCAAAACUCAGAAACAACGUCCCAGUUCGGACUGCAGGCUGCAACUCGCCUGCACGAAGUCGGAAUUGCUAGUAAUCGCAGAUCAGCAUGCCGCGGUGAAUACGUUCCCGGGUCUUGUACUCACCGCCCGUCA